rnacentral:lncRNA from 1 species
AAUCAUGAAAGAGUAACGUUGAAGACAAGUAAAGUUUUUCAAAUGGAUUUCCUAAUUGAGAAAGAGACGUUAAUCUCCAAUCUCAAUAAAGAAAAUACUACUUGUGGUAAGUAGUCAUUUCAAGAAGAAAAAGUCAUCCUGCAUCAGCUAAUUAUGUGAUGGCGUAACUUCAUCUCAAUAUCCACCAGUUUCAACUACUACUUCAACUGAUCUAUAUAAAGGAUUGCAAAU